UUUUUUUUUAAGAUUGUUUAUUUAUUUAUUUGAGAGGUAGAGUUACAGAGAGAGAGAAAGAGAGAAAGGUCUUCCAUCCACUGGUUGAUAUUUUCUUAUAUGCAGGUCUUUACCAUUCUUGGUGAUACUUGGAGGAAUCAAAGCCUUGAGUUCACCAUUAUGCUACUGAUGGGCUUUUGGUCUGGCUCCAAUUUGUUGUGUGUUACAAACAAAGCCACAUUUCACAUCCUCCUUCAUAUGUCUUGUCUACGUGCGUGUGUAUUUGUGUUUAACUUUUGUGAAAGAGAAUGUUUAAGUCGUAGGGGUAGUUGUCACCUUUUGUUCCCUCAUUAGCUCUAAAUAAUAUCAAUGAAAUUUAUUACUAUUUCCUCAUUGUAGUUUAACUUCAUACCCAUGAGUACAUGGGCUCUGAUAUGAACAGACAAUCACAGUUAAUCAUAAGCUCUUAGGAGUUUUGUGACUAUUUUGAGGCUUCUCAACGACUCUCCCCUGGAUGAGUGAUGGGUGUAGAUCUCUGGAGGUGAGGAGGAAGCAUGGUGUUCCUGGGACAGGGUCUGCAGGACGCAUCCCUUCCCCAGGAUCUUCUCCUUGAGCUUGCCCCAGCUGCCUGCCAUUGACCUUGGCUACCUCUCUGUACUUGAGAGCUUUAUCCAAUACUUCAGAAAGCCACUGGGCCCAAGAGGUAGGCCCAAAGUACUGGGGCCUUAACAGCCUCCAGACGCUGGUCUCAAACAAUGUGGAGUGAAAGCAUAAACACUCGAGCUCCCUCCCAGCCAGGGUGGGGCUGUUCUGCUCUGCACCAGGCCUCCCAGUUCCCCUGGGGGAUUGAGCUCCAGUUGCCCACAGUGGUAGCCGGCCUUUCAUUGGCUACUUCCCCUUCCCCAACUCACUGCCCUGCUCCUCUACGCAGACAUCAGGCCUCUCUCCCUGGCCCUGUCAGUGAUCUGCAUUUGAAUCCCCAUCUCCGGGUUGCUCCUGGAGGAACCUGAAUCCUUCCUUCCGGCAUAUCUUCCCUACAGGGCCAUCAUGGCAGCCUGGACCCCAGGGAGGCGGUGUUGCUAAGCGCAUGCAGCGCUUUUCCUCACUUGUUGCAAGAGACAAGUACCCUCUUUAUGAACUCAUCAAGUUCUGUCUGGCUGCCUUUGUACAGAACUUUGGGAACCAUGAUUAGAACAGCAGGGGGUGCUGGUUAGGAUACGCGCUGCAUUUUAAUAGACACCCUCCCGUGGAGGGAGCGAGGAGAGACUUGCACUGUCUUUGUGCCCAGCGCAGUUGAGAGAGAAGGGCUCACAGUGGCUCCAGAACACUGGGCCUCCAUCUGGAAGUUGGGAGACUUGGGCGAGAUGGAAUCAGUUUUGAUUCAGAACGUGAAGCCUUGGGAUCAACCCAGAAGCCAGAAGCCAGGCAGCAUGGGCUUCCUCAUAAGAUGGUUGUUCACACAAGGAGCCGGGUCUGCAUAAUUGUAUCACUAAUCAGCAGUAAGGCAAUUAGUUGUGCUCUGUCAACUCUUGGCCUCAGUGGCACCUGUCGCUGGGACAGUUAUUUGUGGGACUCCCCAUCAAUAUGGUGAACCACCUCUAGGAAGGCGAUGACAGUGCCUGGUUGCCUUUCUGGCUCCAGGGCCUGUCAUGGUAUCUGGUUGUUAGUAAGCAGAUACUCAACAAAUGUGUGCCAAAUAAAUGAACAAAGGUAUGGUAUUCUCAUGGACCACAUCAGUAUUCUGGUGUGUGUGUGUGUGUGUGUGUGUAUUUGUGUGUGUAGUGUAUUAGUGAGAGCAAACCAGCUUUUAACUCUUGGAAGCUUUAGACAUUCACAAUUGCAACCUAUUGGGCUUUUGAUCUAGAAGAUUAGAUCAAGGGAUACUGUAAAAUCCUCAAGAUUGUAUGCAGCGAAUCUUUAUGCAAGAACCAUUACUUAGGCUUAGGUGAUUCGUGGUUUUCUCCUAAAAAUACUGCUGGCCAUUGAUGAGGGAAGGCAUGAGCUGGGUCUCCAAUGUAGCUUUCAUGGUGUGAUCAGCUAGCACCUUAUAAAAGAUGAACAACACCCCAUAGUAAGCUGUGACCAUGGGGAAUAUUAUCCAACAUACUAAGGAGCACCGGGAUUAAAAUAGAAAUAACGAUGUUAACAUGAGACUUCCACGGCUUGCUCAACAGUGGAGACGGUUUGCAUGUAUUUUUGGGUCUCACUGAGUGUAAAGUUGAUGCUCGUUAAAAAGACAUCACUUCACUAUAAGAUUAUUUAGUGUAAAGCUACUGGAAUGUAAAUUGGCUUCCUUUAGCUUAACACUAGGAACAAAUCUGAACUUAAUACAUAUGGGGACUCAAGAGUUUCAUUUGAACUUACCCUUGGUGUGUCAAAGACCAGUGAAAUUUGGUAAGCUCCUGGGAUUUGGAGGUGAGGGGUCUCCUGAGAAGUUGUGUGGCUUAAAUGUUUAGCUCUCCAUGGAGACUGAAGAUUUUUUUUUUCUUUUUGAUAUAACCAGGAACUCCAGCUGAAAGUGAAGUAGUGAGGAUUGUAGAUCUAGAUCCACAAGCCCCUUGAAACUCUCCCUAAGGUGGUCAAAGGUGAGAAGCGACCCAGGAGCUUGCACAAUUCAGCCAUAGGCAUCGACUCACAACACAGAUUAGAAGGAAAUACGAUUUGUAGCAUACAAUUUGUAGCAUGAUAGAUCUGGAUUUUCGUCUUGCCUUUUUUUUUCUAACUGUGAUAUUGGACAAGAUUCUUAUUCCCUGAGUUGUGGCUUUGUUGUUUGUAAAACACACACGAUAAUAUCAUCAAUACAGUGUCAUUGCUGAAAUUCAUGGAGAAAAAGAAUGCAAGAUGCCUUACAGUAUACCUGACCCUUCAAGCAUACUCAGUAAAACCAGUAUCUUUGGUUAAGCUUCUAUUAUAUAGUUUUGCAUGAAUAACUUGACUUAAAAUAAUAAAGAUGAAAAAUAGGUGAAAACUUAUGAGACAAACAUCAGUAGAGUUUGGGGGACAGUAUAAUGGCAGAGCUGAAAUGGAAACUCUUGUCUCCAAAGCCAUUCCUUUGCAACUGUAUCACACAGCCCUUCGGGAAUGCACCGUCUUGGUCACAAAGCAGUGUGUUCUGGGGUCUCCGCCCCCCGAGCUGGAAAGUUCGCCCUGCAGAGUUUCUGACUGGUUGCUAAGAAACCCCCAGGGACUACACUUGCAGAACCUUUGCCCUCCGGGAUGGUGGAGCAGCAAGUGGAGGAAGCCUGGAGUGCUGAAUAACUACGUGGACCCGAGCUGCCCAUGGCACAGAGACGGUCUGCUCUCCUGAGAACUUCUAUGAGAGACCAUGCAUUUCUGCCUUCUGUAAACUAACAAAUUUUGCUUAAGAUCUAGAUGAUGUCCCGCCUUCUCCAGUCGCUUCACCAUGCUGGGAUUUUCUUUCGGUUGAACUCCUAUCAUCCUUGCCAUCAGAGGCACAAAGCUCACCAGUUUUGCAACUGGUUCAAAUGUUCCGAAUGUUAAGGCCACCCUGUGCCUUAAAUAUUUUUUCUUUGUUUUUCACUCUGUUCAGCAUAAGUCUGAGCAUAUGGUAAAUACUUAGUGAAUAGUUGUUAAUAAUAGGGUAAAUGGAGAGUUCAUAUAGACACCAUAAAUAAUUUUAUAAAAAGGAAUUCAUAAAGCACACAUAUGAGAACUGUCUUGAAACAUGCUGUGAGCUUCCUUUAGGGGCUCUGAGAGCAAGAAAUAAAGUUGCAUUGCUGUUAUUUCAUGUGGUGCCAUUUAUAAUCCACAGAUUGGUGGAGAGGAUCUACCAGAGAGAAUGCACCCAAUGGGCCAGAAGAAAACUGGCUUGGAAAUAAGCCAGGAGAACUAACCAUUGUUAGUAUGGGCAUAGCUCCACUGAUAUUUGCCAAGUGCUGAUUAAAUGUUAAAGCAGAUAUGCAUAGAUCUAUGUGUAACUGGACUUCAAAGCCUCAAAUUGUCUCUGAUUUUAAUCUAUAGAACAUCAACAUUCAUAUAGUAGAAGUUCCUAUUAGGAGAAUAUCCUAUCUCCCACCCAUGAGAGUUACCCUAGAGGUGAAGUAUCAUUCCAUGUACAAGGCUGGAACAAAUCCCACAUUACUCUUUUUUUUAAAGAUUAAUUUUAUUUAUUUGAAAGACAGAGUUACAGAGAGAGGUAGAGACAGAGAGAGAGGUCUUCCAUCCACUGGUUCACUCCCCAGAUGGCUGCAAUGGCUGGAGCUGCGUCGAUCCAAAGCCAGGAGCCAAGAGCCUCCUCCAGGUCUCCCACAUGGGCGCAGGAGCCCAAGGACUUGGGCCAUCUCCCACUGCUCUCCCAGGCCACAGCAGAGAGCUGGAUUGGAAGAGGAGCAGCUGGGACUAGAACCGAUGCCCAUAUGGGAUGCCAGUGCUUCAGACUAGGGCUUUAACCCUCUGUGCCACAGCGCCGGCCCCCCAUAUUACUCUUUAUGGUAAAGGAUACAAAUAUCUUUUCAUAAUGAAGUAAAACUUUUGUCAGUUUUUAAUCCCUCUUAAGUGUAUCACUAAUUUAAUUUCCCUUAAGUGUAUCACAAAUUAUAAGUAUUGAGCAAGAAAAGAACAAAAGAGAAAAUAACUCUUACACUAAUGUAUGCCUUUGCCAUGGAAAAAAAGUUAGUUUAUUCAAUAUCUGAGUUUUUUUGCUAACUCCUAAGUAAAAUGAGGCAAUGUGUUUGGGUAAGCAUACAAUCACAGCUACAUAAGUACAUAUAAAUUUGUAUCUUUUGUUUGUGUAGUGUGGAUGGGUGGGGCAAAAAAUACACAAAAAAGCACUUGUAUCCAGAGUAAAUAAACAACCUCCAUGUAUGAAUAACAGAAAAAAAAAAUCAAACUUAAAAUGAGCAAAGGCCUAAAUUUUUAUUUGUGAGUGCUUAAGUGGGAUACACAUUCACAAAUGAGGAUACAAAAUAAGGAACAAUCAUACUGGAUAUCAGAGAAAUGCGAAUUAGAAUCAUAAGGAGACACUACUACAUUGCCACCAGAAUGGCUAAAACUACAAACAAAACAACAAACUCAA